CAGGCUCCCCUUCUCUAGGCUCUUCUGCUGGUAUGAUUUUGGCAUUUGCGCUGAGGUCCUGGUGCCAGCGUCCGGGAAGUGAUGACCAGGUGGCUGAGGCGAGGAUGGAGAGGAGAAAGAGUCAGGUGAAUGGAUAAGCUAUGGCAUAUUCAUAUGAUGAUGACGACAGAUACUCUUCAACAACAAAAAGGACUGGAGUAUUGCCACAUGCAGUAACAUGGAUGAAUCUCAAAAACAGAAUGUCAAGUCAGAGAAGCCAGACGGAAAAGAGCACCUACCAUAUGAUUCUGCUUAUAUGAAGUUCCAGAACAGGCAAAAUCAAUUUAUGUGGGGAAAAAAAUCAGAAGACUGAUUGCCUUUGGAGAGAGUGGAGUGGGAUGAGGAUAAGCCCUUGGGCAAUCUGACUUCUGGGCAUCAAGGUGUAGCUGGAGGCUGGUUAUCUGGUGAUCCAAAAAGUGGAACAACUCAACUGUCUGCCAGUUGAUGAAUGGAAGAAAAAAAUGCAGUCUGGUCAUACAAUGGAAUAUUAUUCACCAUAGAAAGGAAUGAAGAACUGAUACAUGCUACAACAUGGAUGAACCUUGAAGACAUCAUGCUAAACGAAAGAAACCAGACACGAGAGGCCACGUAUUGUAUGAUUCCAUUUAUAUGAAAGGUCCAGAAUAGACAAAUCUAUAGAGACAGAAAGUAAAUUAGUGGUUGCUAGAAGAUAGGAGAAGAGGGGAAUUAAGACUAACUGCUAAUGGGUAGGGAGUUUCUUUUGGGGUGAUGGAAAUGUUCUGGAAUUGUUACUGAACCAGGUUCAUUUCUGACGUCCCCAGAAAGCCAAUCACUGAGAUGAUGAGAUUGCAGCAGAGAGAGGGUUUAAUCACAAGGCAGUCAAGCGAGGAAGCAGGAGAACAAGA
rnacentral:lncRNA from 1 species